rnacentral:rRNA from 1 species
AUUGAACGCUGGCGGCAUGCUUUACACAUGCAAGUCGAACGGCAGCGGGGGCCUUGGCCCUGCGGUGAGCGGCGGACGGGUGAGUAAUACAUCGGAAUGUGCCUAGUAGUGGGGGAUAGCUCGGCGAAAGCCGCGCUAAUACCGCAUACGUCCUGAGGGUGAAAGCGGGGGAUCUUCGGACCUCGCGCUAUUGGAGCGGCCGAUGGCGGAUUAGCUAGUUGGUGGGGUAAAGGCCUACCAAGGCGACGAUCCGUAGCUGGUCUGAGAGGACGACCAGCCACACUGGGACUGAGACACGGCCCAGACUCCUACGGGAGGCAGCAGUGGGGAAUUUUGGACAAUGGGCGAAAGCCUGAUCCAGCAAUGCCGCGUGUGUGAUGAAGGCCUUCGGAUUGUAAAGCACUUUUGGCAGGGACGAAGAGGACUGAGCCAAUACCACGGUUCGAUGACGGUACCCGCAGAAUAAGCACCGGCUAACUACGUG